rnacentral:rRNA from 1 species
GGAAACCAGAUGACCCCCUUCGGGGUGAUUCUGGUGGAAUGAGCGGCGGACGGGUGAGUAACACGUGGGCAACCUGCCUGUAAGACUGGGAUAACUUCGGGAAACCGGAGCUAAUACCGGAUAGUAUUUCCUUUCUCCUGAUUGGAAAUGGAAAGACGGUUUCGGCUGUCACUUACAGAUGGGCCCGCGGUGCAUUAGCUAGUUGGUGGGGUAAUGGCCCACCAAGGCGACGAUGCAUAGCCGACCUGAGAGGGUGAUCGGCCACACUGGGACUGAGACACGGCCCAGACUCCUACGGGAGGCAGCAGUAGGGAAUCUUCCGCAAUGGACGAAAGUCUGACGGAGCAACGCCGCGUGAGCGAUGAAGGCCUUCGGGUCGUAAAGCUCUGUUGUUAGGGAAGAACAAGUACGAGAGUAACUGCUCGUACCUUGACGGUACCUAACCAGAAAGCCCCGGCUAACUACGUGCCAGCAGCCGCGGUAAUACGUAGGGGGCAAGCGUUGUCCGGAAUUAUUGGGCGUAAAGGGCUCGUAGGCGGUUUCUUAAGUCUGAUGUGAAAGCCCACAGCUCAACUGUGGAGGGUCAUUGGAAACUGGGGAACUUGAGUGCAGAAGAGGAGAGUGGAAUUCCACGUGUAGCGGUGAAAUGCGUAGAUAUGUGGAGGAACACCAGUGGCGAAGGCGACUCUCUGGUCUGUAACUGACGCUGAGGAGCGAAAGCGU